rnacentral:rRNA from 1 species
GUGCAGCAGUCGCGCAACCUCUGCAAUACGCGAAAGCGUGACAGGGCUACCCCGAGUGCCGUCCGCUGAGGAUGGCUUUUCUCCGGUGUAGUAAGCCGGAGGAAUAAGGAGAGGGCAAGUCUGGUGUCAGCCGCCGCGGUAAUACCAGCUCUCCGAGUGGUAGGGACGAUUAUUGGGCCUAAAGCGUCCGUAGCCGGCCAAGCAAGUUUCCCGUUAAAUCCAGCGAUCCAAUCGUUGGACUGCGGGAAAUACUGUUAGGCUAGGGGGCGGGAGAAGCCGACGGUAUUUCCGGGGUAGGGGUAAAAUCCUAUAAUCCCGGGAGGACCACCAGUGGCGAAGGCUGUUGGCUAGAACACGCCCGACGGUGAGGGAUGAAAGCUGGGGGAGCGAACCGGAUUAGAUACCCCGGGAGUCC